AGGGUUUGAUCAUGGCUCAGAACGUACGCUGGCGGCACGCCUAAUACAUGCAAGUCGAACGAAGUAGCAAUACUUAGUGGCAGACGGGUGAGUAACAUGUAGGUAUCUUCCCUUUGGUGAGGAAUAACACGAGGAAACUUGUGCUAAUACCUCAUAAGUCUUUACAGAGAAAGCUUUAUGCGCCAUUGGAUGAGCCUGCACUUGAUUAGUUUGUUGGUGGGGUAAUGGCCUACCAAGACAAUGAUCAAUAGCUGAUUUGAGAGGAUGAUCAGCCACAUUGGGACUGAGACACGGCCCAAACUCCUACGGGAGGCAGCAGUAGGGAAUCUUGCACAAUGGGGGAAACCCUGAUGCAGCGAUGCCGCGUGAGUGAAGAAGGCCUUUGGGUUGUAAAGCUCUUUCGUCGGGGAAGAAAAUGACUGUACCCGAAUAAGAAGGUCCGGCUAACUUCGUGCCAGCAGCCGCGGUAAUACGAAGGGACCUAGCGUAGUUCGGAAUUACUGGGCUUAAAGAGUUCGUAGGUGGUUAAAAAAGUUGGUGGUGAAAUCCCAGAGCUUAACUCUGGAACUGCCAUCAAAACUUUUUAGCUAGAGUAUGAUAGAGGAAAGCAGAAUUUCUAGUGUAGAGGUGAAAUUCGUAGAUAUUAGAAAGAAUACCAAUUGCGAAGGCAGCUUUCUGGAUCAUUACUGACACUGAGGAACGAAAGCAUGGGUAGCGAAGAGGAUUAGAUACCCUCGUAGUCCAUGCCGUAAACGAUGUGUGUUAGACGUUGGAAAUUUAUUUUCAGUGUCGCAGCGAAAGCAAUAAACACACCGCCUGGGGAGUACGACCGCAAGGUUAAAACUCAAAUGAAUUGACGGGGACCCGCACAAGUAGUGGAGCAUGUGGUUUAAUUCGAAGAUACGCGCAGACCCUUACCAACACUUGACAUGUUCGUCGCGACUUUAAGAGAUUAAAGUUUUCGGUUCGGCCGGACGAAACACAGGUGCUGCAUGGCUGUCGUCAGCUCGUGUCGUGAGAUGUUGGGUUAAGUCCCGCAACGAGCGCAACCCUCACUUUUAGUUGCCAUCAUUUAGUUGGGCACUCUGAAAGAACUGCCAGUGAUAAGCUGGAGGAAGGUGGGGAUGACGUCAAGUCCUCAUGGCCCUUACGUGUUGGGCUACACACGUGCUACAAUGGCAUUUACAAUAGGAAGCAAAACGGCGACGUUAAGCAAAUCCUAAAAAAAUGCCUCAGUUCGGAUUGUACUCUGCAACUCGAGUACAUGAAGCUGGAAUUACUAGUAAUCGCGGAUCAGCGCGCCGCGGUGAAUACGUUCCCGGGUCUUGUACACACCGCCCGUCACACCAUGGGAGUUGGUUCUACCUUAAGGCAAAGGUUAAAAACUUUGACCACGGUAUAGUCAGCGACUGGGGUGAAGUCAUAACAAGGUAGCCGUA
rnacentral:rRNA from 1 species